UACGGAGGGUGCAAGCGUUAUCCGGAUUCACUGGGCUUAAAGGGUGCGCAGGCGGGUUGGUAAGUCAGUGGUGAAAUCUCCGAGCUUAACUUGGAAACUGCCAUUGAUACUAUCAGUCUUGAAUAUUGUGGAGGUCAGCGGAAUAUGUCAUGUAGCGGUGAAAUGCUUAGAUAUGACAUAGAACACCAAUUGCGAAGGCAGCUGGCUACACAUAUAUUGACACUGAGGCACGAAAGCGUGGGGAUCAAACAGG
rnacentral:rRNA from 1 species